rnacentral:rRNA from 1 species
ACGUAGGUGGCGAGCGUUGUCCGGAUUUAUUGGGUUUAAAGGGUGCGUAGGCGUCCUGACAAGUUUUAGGUGAAAUGCCCAGGCUUAACCUGGGAGCUGCCUGAAAAACUGUUGGGAUUGAGUACAGACGAGGUAGGCGGAAUUGACGGUGUAGCGGUGAAAUGCAUAGAUAUCGUCAGGAACACCGAUAGCGAAGGCAGCUUACUAGACUGUAACUGACGCUGAGGCACGAAAGUGUGGGGAUCAAACAGGA